AACGAACGCUGGCGGCAGGCUUAACACAUGCAAGUCGAGCGGAGUCAGUAAGAGGAAGUUUUCGGAUGGAAUCUUAUUGAUUUAGCGGCGGACGGGUGAGUAACGCGUGAGCGACCAACCUUGCACAGGGGGAUAACGGACCGAAAGGUUCACUAAUACCGCAUGAGACCACGGUGUUGCAUGACACGGGGGUCAAAGGAGCAAUCCGGUGCAAGACGGGCUCGCGUCCGAUUAGGUAGUUGGAGGGGUAACGGCCCACCAAGCCUAUGAUCGGUAGCCGACCUGAGAGGGUGAUCGGCCACAUUGAAACUGAGAUACGGUCCAAACUCCUACGGGAGGCAGCAGUGGGGAAUAUUGGGCAAUGGGGGAAACCCUGACCCAGCAACGCCGCGUGAAGGAAGAAGGUUUUCGGAUUGUAAACUUCUGUCCUUGGUGAAGAGAAGAAGACGGUAGCCAAGGAGGAAGCCCCGGCUAACUACGUGCCAGCCGCCGCCGUAA
rnacentral:rRNA from 1 species